GACGAACGCUGGCGGCGUGCCUAAUACAUGCAAGUCGAGCGAAGUUUUUCUGGUGCUUGCACCGGAAAAACUUAGCGGCGAACGGGUGAGUAACACGUAAAGAACCUGCCUUAUAGACUGGGACAACUAUUGGAAACGAUAGCUAAUACCGGAUAACAGCAUUAACUGCAUGGUUGAUGUUUGAAAGGUGGUUUUGCUAACACUAUGAGAUGGCUUUGCGGUGCAUUAGCUAGUUGGUGGGGUAAAGGCCUACCAAGUCGACGAUGCAUAGCCGACCUGAGAGGGUGAUCGGCCACACUGGGACGGAGACACGGCCCAUACUCCUACGGGAGGCAGCAGUAGGGAAUCUUCCGCAAUGGGCGAAAGCCUGACGGAGCAACGCCGCGUGAGUGAAGAAGGAUUUCGGUUCGUAAAGCUCUGUUGUUAGGGAAGAAUGAUUGUGUAGUAACUAUACACAGUAGAGACGGUACCUAACCAGAAAGCCACGGCUAACUACGUG
rnacentral:rRNA from 1 species